GACGAACGCUGGCGGCGUGCCUAAUACAUGCAAGUAGAACGCACAGUUUAUGCCGUAGCUUGCUACACCAUAGACUGUGAGUUGCGAACGGGUGAGUAACGCGUAGGUAACCUGCCUGGUAGCGGGGGAUAACUAUUGGAAACGAUAGCUAAUACCGCAUAAUAUUAAUUAUUGCAUGAUAAUUGAUUGAAAGAUGCAACUGCAUCACUACCAGAUGGCCCUGCGUUGUAUUAGCUAGUAGGUGAGGUAACGGCUCACCUAGGCGACGAUACAUAGCCGACCUGCGAGGGUGAUCGGCCACACUGGGACUGAGACACGGCCCAGACUCCUACGGGAGGCAGCAGGAGGGAAUCUUCGGCAAUGGACGAAAGUCUGACCGAGCAACGCCGCGUGAGUGAAGAAGGUUUUCGGAUCGUAAAGCUCUGUUGUAAGAGAAGAACGGGUGUGAGAGUGGAAAGUUCACACUGUGACGGUAUCUUACCAGAAAGGGACGGCUAACUACGUG
rnacentral:rRNA from 1 species